rnacentral:rRNA from 1 species
GUGGGGAAUAUUGGACAAUGGGCGAAAGCCUGAUCCAGCCAUGCCGCGUGAGUGAUGAAGGCCUUAGGGUUGUAAAGCUCUUUCAGUAGGGAAGAUAAUGACGGUACCUACAGAAGAAGCCCCGGCUAACUUCGUGCCAGCAGCCGCGGUAAUACGAAGGGGGCUAGCGUUGUUCGGAUUUACUGGGCGUAAAGCGCACGUAGGCGGAUUGGUCAGUUAGAGGUGAAAUCCUGGAGCUCAACUCCAGAACUGCCUUUAAUACUGCCAGUCUAGAGUCCAGAAGAGGUGAGUGGAACUCCUAGUGUAGAGGUGGAAUUCGUAGAUAUUAGGAAGAACACCAGUGGCGAAGGCGGCUCACUGGUCUGGUACUGACGCUGAGGUGCGAAAGCGUGGGGAGCAAACAGGAUUAGAAACCCUUGUAGUCC